rnacentral:rRNA from 1 species
CCUACGGGAGGCAGUGGGGAAUUUUGGACAAUGGGCGCAAGCCUGAUCCAGCAAUGCCGCGUGAGUGAAGAAGGCCUUCGGGUUGUAAAGCUCUUUUGUCAGGGAAGAAACGGUGGGGGCUAAUAUCUCCUGCUAAUGACGGUACCUGAAGAAUAAGCACCGGCUAACUACGUGCCAGCAGCCGCGGUAAUACGUAGGGUGCAAGCGUUAAUCGGAAUUACUGGGCGUAAAGCGUGCGCAGGCGGUUUUGUAAGUUUGUCGUGAAAUCCCCGGGCUCAACCUGGGAAUGGCGAUGAGGACUGCAAGGCUAGAAUCUGGCAGAGGGGGGUAGAAGUUCCACGUGUAGCAGUGAAAUGCGUAGAGAUGUGGAGGAACACCGAUGGCGAAGGCAGCCCCCUGGGUCCAAGAUUGACGCUCAUGCACGAAAGCGUGGGGAGCGAAACAGGAUUAGAUACCCUGGUAGUCCACGCCCUAAACGAUGUCUACUAGUUGUCGGGUUUUAAUUAACUUGGUAACGCAGCUAACGCGUGAAGUAGACCGCCUGGGGAUACGGGUCGCAAGNUUAAAACUCAAAAGGAUUGACGGCUGAGACGNGCGAGACGACGACGAGGGAGAGG